rnacentral:ribozyme from 12 species
AGGUACAUAAACACAACUUCAUGGUUUUUUUAAUCUCUUUUUUUUUUGUUUUUUCGACAGAUGCCUUAGAAACAAGUCCACUGUUGUAAUACGAUGGAUAAUUGCUGAUUAGAGAUGAAUUGGAGAGAGAGUAACGGUUGUUGCUUGUCUCCUUUUCGUCUUUUGUUUGAUUCGCGCCCUUUUGUUCCGAGGUGCAACGUACAAUCAAAAAGAGAGAAACACACGAGAGAUGGGUUUCAGGUUUUUUUUUUUUUUUCCUCACAAACGUAAUUGGUAAGAAUGGAUGUGCCCAAUAAUA